GGGGGAAUUUCUUAUUCUGGGGUGCAGACAGUCUCUUAAUUUUUUUGCUUCUUUUUGCCUAACAUGACAAUGAGUAAUGAUAUCAUAAAGUGUAAUUUUGAUGAAUACAUUGAUUGUUUUUGUAUAAUUAAUUUAGAGUUUAGAAACCAAGAAAAAUUUAUUAGAUCUUAAUGAUUGUCAAGUUAUCAGUCAAUUCAUGCUGAUAUGUGGUUAGGUUUUGUUACAAAGUUCCGUUGGAAUUUUAUGCACCCUGGUGCGGUCACUGCCAAAACUUGGCUCCAAUCUUGGAUGAAGUUGGUGUUUCACUUGAAAGUGAUGCUGAUGUUGUCAUUGCAAAGAUUGUAAGAUCUAUAACCCAAACUAGCUAAAGACUACUUGAAGAGAUUUGUUGCUUUGUCAGUAUAGACGGUUAUUUUCUACAAAUAUUGUGCACCUGAAUUAUGUUUCAAUAUUACUCUCAAAGUACCUUUCCUUUAAUGUUAUUUUUGCCUUGCAAAUUGAAAUCAUUUUCUUCCGUCAUUUCUAGGUUGCAGUUCAUGUACUGUUCAUCUAUGGCUUCUAAAGCUGAAGAGAUGCCACAGCAAAUGAUGUACCAAUUGAUAUUUUCGACGUGAAAGGUUAUCCAACAUUGUACUUCAGGUCAGCAGGUGGAAAUCUAUUGCAGUACAAUGGGGAACUUACCAAAGAGGAUACAAUUGACUUUAUUCAGAAGAAUCGGGAUAAACUUGCCCAGCAGGAACUUGGAAAAGAUGAGCUGUAGUGAAGGUCAUAACUGAGGAGAUGGAAGUUAUUUUUCAAUGAUAGGGAAUACUAAACCAAAAAAAAAAGAUGGGGAAUAUUUUUUGUUAUAAUUGCUUUAAAUUCUUUUUGUGAAAAGAACAAAAGCAAAAACAAACUUUGUAUUUAUGGUUAGUAGAUUCUUGUGAAAUGAAAAUGACACCAUAUUCUGGUUCAAAUGAUGUUGAGUGGUUCCAUGCUAUGGAUACCUCCUUGCGGUGGCAGGGUGACAAGAAGAGAGAAAAAAGCAGGCAUCUAAGUAGGUGCAUGGUUUUAAAAUUUGAUGUCUAGUCAUGUUAAGUGGGCCAAAGUUGUUCUCAGAUAGGUGCCUAUAUUGAACAACAAGAUGGCCAAACUACUGAAGGUUCCCAGAGUGUGGUUCAUAUUUGUGCCUUCCCAUUAUUAUCAUAUACCAAAAUUUCCUUGUUGUUUUUGUCAGUUCCUCUUAUAUGAUAUGCUGUCUCGAAAUUUGUAGUUUCUAUAAUUAUAAACUUUAUUGAGUACAUUGUGUAGCCAAGACACUGAAAAGAUUAGAGGAGAAGAGUUAGGGAUGGGUUUUGAGCCAUUUGUUAUAUCUGAUGCGUAUAGUAGAGAAGACUGUUCAAAGACGAGUUGCUUUGGCUCUUGCCAACCUUUGUUCUGCAGAGGAUCUGAGAACAAUAUUCAUUGAUAACAAUGGAUUAGAGUUACCAAUUGGUCUUCUUGGUUGCACGAACCUAAAGCAGCAACUUGAUGGUUCUAUAGCCUUGUACAAGUUGGCUAACAAAGCCACAACUCUUUCUCCCAUUGAUAUGGCUCCUCCAUCUCUGACACCACAGGUGUGUGUCCUUUUUAUUGUUAGUUUAUUUGGCCCAUGUGUUCUGUUAGAUUUGGAAUUAUUUCAAACAAUUAGCAGGACUAGUAUUUGGUAGAUUUCAUGAAAAUAUCAGUUGGCUUUUAAUUUAAGAAAUUUUGAAUCUAUUGUUUAUUUUAA